CCUACGGGUGGCAGCAGUGAGGAAUAUUGGUCAAUGGGCUUACGCCUGAACCAGCCAAGUCGCGUGAGGGAAGACUGCCCUAUGGGUUGUAAACCUCUUUUGUCAGGGAGCAACGCCGGCUACGUGUAGCCGGACUGAGAGUACCUGAAGAAAAAGCAUCGGCUAACUCCGUGCCAGCAGGCGCGGUAAUACGGAGGAUGCGAGCGUUAUCCGGAUUUAUUGGGUGUAAAGGGUGCGUAGGCGGAAUGCCAAGUCAGCGGUAAAAUCGCGGGGCUCAACCUCGCUCCGCCGUUGAAACUGGCGUUCUUGAGUGGGCGAGAAGUAUGUGGAAUGCGCAGUGUAGCGGUGAAAUGCUUAGAUAUUGCGCAGAACACCGAUUGCGAAGGCAGCAUACCGGCGGCGAUCUGACGCUGAGGCACGAAAGCGUGGGUAUCGAACAGGAUUAGAUACCCUUGUAGUA
rnacentral:rRNA from 1 species